rnacentral:misc_RNA from 1 species
CAGCCUGGAGCUAUUGUUUACAACCGAGCCCCUGUAACUCAGGACUGGAUAGUUCCAGCUGUUCUCUCUUGUCUGUUUUGUUGCUGGCCGUUAGGGUUAAAGGCUAUACUGGCCGCUAGUAAGGCAAAUAAUGCAGCAGCAAUUGGAGAUGUAAUGGAAGCGGAAAGACAAUCCAACGACGCGCGCACGUAUGUGAUUGCUUCCGUGAUAUCAGGAGUCAUUAUAUUUACUCUCCUUAUUGUGUUCAGUCUGCACUAAGGAACAAAUCAUGCUCAUAAAUGACUGAAUAAU